rnacentral:rRNA from 1 species
GUGAGGAAUAUUCCGCAAUGGGGGAAACCCUGACGGAGCAAUGCCGCGUGCAGGAUGAAGGCCCUCGGGUCGUAAACUGCUUUUAUAUGAGAAGAAUAUGACGGUAACAUAUGAAUAAGGGACGGCUAACUACGUGCCAGCAGCCGCGGUCAUACGUAGGUCCCAAGCGUUAUCCGGAGUGACUGGGCGUAAAGAGUUGCGUAGGCGGCUCGUUAAGCGUGAAAUGAAAUUUAUCGGCUCAACCGGUAAACUAUUUCGCGAACUGACGGGCUCGAGAGUAUGAGAGGUUACUGGAAUUUCUAGUGUAGCAGUGAAAUGCGUAGAUAUUAGAAAGAACACCAACGGCGUAGGCAGGUAACUGGCAUACAUCUGACGCUGAGGCACGAAAGCGUGGGGAGCGAACCGGAUUAGAAACCCGUGUAGUCC